UACAGAGGGUGCAAACGUUGUUCGGAUUUACUGGGCGUAAAGCGCGUGUAGGCUGCUUCGCAAGUCGGAUGUGAAAGCCCUGGGCUCAACCCAGGAAGUGCAUUCGAAACUGCAGAGCUGGAGUCCUGGAGAGGAAGGCGGAAUUCUCGGUGUAGAGGUGAAAUUCGUAGAUAUCGAGAAGAACACCGGUGGCGAAGGCGGUCUGCUGGGCAGUAGCUGACACUGAGGCGCGACAGCGUGGGGGAGCAAACAGG
rnacentral:rRNA from 1 species